rnacentral:rRNA from 1 species
GACGAACGCUGGCGGCGUGCUUAACACAUGCAAGUCGAACGGAAAGGCCCUGCUUUUGUGGGGUGCUCGAGUGGCGAACGGGUGAGUAACACGUGAGUAACCUGCCCUUGACUUUGGGAUAACUUCAGGAAACUGGGGCUAAUACCGGAUAGGAGCUCCUGCUGCAUGGAGGGGGUUGGAAAGUUUCGGCGGGUGGGGAUGGACUCGCGGCUUAUCAGCUUGUUGGUGGGGGAGUGGCUGACCAAGGCUUUGACGGGUAGCCGGCCGGAGAGGGUGACCGGCCACCUUGGGACUGCGGUACGGACCAGACUCCUACGGGGGGCAGCAGUGGGGAAUAUUGUCCAAUGGGCGGAAGCCUGAUGCAGAAACGCCGCGUGCGGGAUGACGGCCUUCGGGUUGUAAACCGCUUUCGCCUGUGACGAAGCGUGAGUGACGGUAAUGGGUAAAGAAGCACCGGCUAACUACGUG